AGAGUUUGAUCCUGGCUCAGGACGAACGCUGGCGGCGUGCUUAACACAUGCAAGUCGAACGGAAAGGCCCCCACUUUUUUGGUGGGGGUGCUCGAGUGGCGAACGGGUGAGUAACACGUGGGUGAUCUGCCCUGUACUUCGGGAUAAGCUUGGGAAACUGGGUCUAAUACCGGAUAGGACCAUGGUUUAGUGUCUCAUGGUGGAAAAAUAUUGUUUUGGUGCAGGAUGAGCUCGCGGCCUAUCAGCUUGUUGGUGGGGUAAUGGCCUACCAAGGCGUCGACGGGUAGCCGGCCUGAGAGGGUGGACGGCCACAUUGGGACUGAGAUACGGCCCAGACUCCUACGGGAGGCAGCAGUGGGGAAUAUUGCACAAUGGGCGCAAGCCUGAUGCAGCGACGCCGCGUGGGGGAUGACGGCCUUCGGGUUGUAAACUCCUUUCGUUAGGGACGAAGCCAUACUUUUUGGGUGUGGUGACGGUACCUUUGUUAAGAAGCACCGGCUAACUACGUGCCAGCAGCCGCGGUAAUACGUAGGGUGCGAGCGUUGUCCGGAAUUACUGGGCGUAAAGAGCUCGUAGGUGGUUUGUUGCGUCGUCUGUGAAAUUCCGGGGCUUAACUUCGGGGUGGCAGGCGAUACGGGCAUAACUAGAGUGCUGUAGGGGAGACUGGAAUUCCUGGUGUAGCGGUGGAAUGCGCAGAUAUCAGGAGGAACACCGAUGGCGAAGGCAGGUCUCUGGGCAGUAACUGACGCUGAGGAGCGAAAGCAUGGGGAGCGAACAGGAUUAGAUACCCUGGUAGUCCAUGCUGUAAACGGUGGGCGUUAGGUGUGGGGACCGGUUUGGUUUCUGUGCCGUAGCUAACGCAUUAAGCGCCCCGCCUGGGGAGUACGGCCGCAAGGCUAAAACUCAAAGGAAUUGACGGGGGC
rnacentral:rRNA from 1 species